UCGAUCUCACCAGCGCCGGCCCGGCGCGGUUGUUCAACAUCGCCUGCAAGGGCCGCAUCGCUGCGGGUUACGACGCCGAUCUCACCGUGGUGGACAUGAAGCGCGAGGAAACCAUCACCGACAAGUGGAUCGCCUCGCGCGCGGGCUGGACGCCGUAUGACGGCGUGAAGGUCAAGGGCUGGCCGGUCGGCACCUUCGUGCGCGGCAAGCGCGUGAUGUGGCAGGGCGGGGG
rnacentral:misc_RNA from 1 species